rnacentral:misc_RNA from 1 species
GAUGAAGAAGGUAGCGAAAUGCGAUAAGUGAUGUGAAUUGCAGAAUUCAGUGAAUCAUCGAAUCUUUGAACGCACAUUGCGCCCGCCAGUAUUCUGGCGGGCAUGCCUGUUCGAGCGUCAUUUCAACCCUCAGGCCCCCAGUGCCUGGUGUUGGGGAUCGGCCCAGCCUUCCUGUAAGGCCGCCGGCCCCGAAAUCUAGUGGCGGUCUCGCUGUAGUCCUCCUCUGCGUAGUAGCACAACCUCGCAGUUGGAACGCGGCGGUGGCCAUGCCGUUAAACACCCCACUUCUGAAAGUUGACCUCGGAUCAGGUAGGAAUACCCGCUGAACUUAAGCAUAUCAAUAAGCGGAGGA